rnacentral:rRNA from 1 species
UACGUAGGGUGCGAGCGUUGUCCGGAAUUAUUGGGCGUAAAGGGCUCGUAGGCGGUCCAUCGCGUCGGGAGUGAAAAGCUGGGGCUUAACCCCAGUCCUGCUUCCGAUACGGGUGGACUAGAGGUAGGUAGGGGAGAUCGGAAUUCCUGGUGUAGCGGUGGAAUGCGCAGAUAUCAGGAGGAACACCGAUAGCGAAGGCAGCUCGCUGGGACGGUACUGACGCUGAGGCGCGAAAGCGUGGGGAGCGAACAGG